rnacentral:rRNA from 1 species
UGGGGAAUUUUGCACAAUGGGCGGAAGCCUGAUGCAGAGACGCCGUGUGGGGGAUGAAGGCCUUCGGGUUGUAAACUCCUUUCGUCAGGGACGAAGUUUGUUUGACGGUACCUGGAUAAGAAGCACCGGCUAACUACGUGCCAGCAGCCGCGGUAAUACGUAGGGUGCGAGCGUUGUCCGGAUUUACUGGGCGUAAAGGGCUCGUAGGGGGUGUGUUGCGUCUUCUGUGUAAUCCAGGGGCUUAACUUUUGGUUGGCAGGCGAUACGGGCAUUGCUUGAGUGCUGUAGGGGAGACUGGAAUUCCUGGUGUAGCGUGAAAUGCGCAGAUAUCAGGAGGAACACCGAUGGCGAAGGCAGGGCUCUGGGCAGUUACUGACGCUGAGGAGCGAGAGCAUGGGUAGCGAACAGG